UACGUAGGGUGCAAGCGUUAAUCGGAAUUACUGGGCGUAAAGCGUGCGCAGGCGGUUUUGUAAGUCUGUCGUGAAAUCCCCGGGCUCAACCUGGGAAUUGCGAUGGAGACUGCAAGGCUGGAGUCUGGCAGAGGGGGGUAGAAUUCCACGUGUAGCAGUGAAAUGCGUAGAGAUGUGGAGGAACACCGAUGGCGAAGGCAGCCCCCCUGGGUCAAGACUGACGCUCAUGCACGGAAGCGUGGGGAGCAAACGAGG
rnacentral:rRNA from 1 species